AGCUCCUCCUUCGGAGGGCUCUCAACAGAGACUGGAUGGCCAUCUGUCAGGAGUGCUUUGAUUGUGUCUUUCGGAGGGCUCUAAACAGAGACUGGAUGGCCAUCUGUCAGGAGUGCUUUGAUUGUGUCCUUCAGAGGGCUCUCAACAGAGACUGGAUGGCCAUCUGUCAGGAGUGCUUUGAUUGUGUCCUUUGGAGGGCUCUAAACAGAGACUGGAUGGCCAUCUGUCAGGAGUGCUUUGUGUCCUUCAGAGGGCUCUAAACAGAGACUGGAUGGCCAUCUGUCAGGGGUGCUUUGAUUGUGUUCCUGCCUGGCAGAAAGGGGUUGGGGUUGGACUGGAUGAUCCUUGCGGCCUUUCCCAGCUCUUGAUUUAAACUAUAGGCAAAUUGUUGCCUUGCUUCUUCUCUUUGCUCUGCGAAGCGAACACGGUGCCGAAAUGCUCCAGCUGUGCUCAGAGCAGGUGGCAUCGAUGCCGCGCGAAAGCCAUGCUGUUCUUUGUCAAUUCAUCCCGGAGGCUGGGACGUGCCCAGGAAGCCAAGGCCUUCUGCAGAUGUCACACCCUUUCCAGGCGCUCCUGGUAAAGCUCACGCCACUGGCCACACAAAGUGAGUCUGCAGACGUGCUUCCCGCGACCCCAGGAAAAAGAAGCAGAGGAAGGAAUGAAAAGGAAAGGAGAAGGAGCCUUGCAAGACAAAUAUGAAGACAAAGGAAGAACGGUGAAACCUUGCUGUCCUGGCUUGGUGUGAUGACCACCUCUGGCCGGAAUUCUAUAGACAUGGUGCAAAUAUAGACAGUACAGGUCAAUGAUGGACAAUCUUUUGCGCUUGGUGUGUCAAAAUUCACCAAAAAAAACUUAGCAUGACUUGGGUGGUGUGUCACUUCGAGAAAAAAACCCAUAAUUUUGCAAUAUGUAUAGUUUAAAUAACAAAAAUGUAUAAUUGUAAUAUAUAACUAUAUUUAAUAAAUCAAAAACUAUUUACUACCA